rnacentral:rRNA from 1 species
UACGUAGGGUGCAAGCGUUGUCCGGAAUUAUUGGGCGUAAAGAGCUCGUAGGCGGUCUGUCGCGUCUGCUGUGAAAACUCAGGGCUUAACCCUGAGCUUGCAGUGGGUACGGGCAGACUAGAGUGCGGUAGGGGAGACUGGAAUUCCUGGUGUAGCGGUGAAAUGCGCAGAUACCGGGAGGAACACCGGUGGCGAAGGCGGUUCUCUGGGCCUGUACUGACGCUGAGGAGCGAAAGCGUGGGGAGCGAACAGG